UUCAUUUUAACAUACAAAUUUCAUCGAAAAUUACGAUGAGAUCCACUUUCACAUUCUCCUCCUAAAUCUCCUCCAUAAUCGACAAUCUCCUCCAGGCUCCUCCGGGCUCCUCCAUAAUCGACAAUCUCGUCCAUUCCGACGAUCGAAAAUCUCCUCCAGUCUCAACAACUCCUCCAUAAUUGGCCGCACCGGAGGCGGCAUGCUAAUCCUUUAGAGUUUUUUCAAAUCUGAAUCGACACUCCUAAAGCUUAAAGUCCAGAUGCAAAGAAGGCAUUGAAGAAACAAAGAAAAAGAUAGAUACAUAAAAUCCAAUUCUGUGAGAAAAAAGGUGAAGAAAUGAACAAGGAGUAGAUGAAAGCAGUAAAGUACUUUAGAUACAUUGAUCAUCGCAAGGCCUUUAGAUGUUCUAGGAAUCUUUUAUAUUAGAAGUUUUGAAAAUUUAUGUAUACCAACUCUCAAAUUCAUCAAACAAUAUUGUACAUUUUGCUUUAAUAUAUGAAUAAUACUAGUUCAUUAUUUGGAUUA